AAGGCUUGACAUGGCGGAAGUAGUAACCUGAAAGGGAAGCGACCUGUUAAGUCAGGAGCCGUCACAGGUGCUGCAUGGCUGUCGUCAGCUCGUGCCGUGAGGUGUUGGGUUAAGUCCCGCAACGAGCGUAACCCCUAUUGUCAGUUAUUUUCUCUGGCGAGACUGCCCCGCGAAACGGGGAGGAAGGUGGGGAUGACGUCAAGUCAGCAUGGCCCUUAUGCCUUGGGCUACACACACGCUACAAUGGGUGGUACAAUUGGUUGCAAUGGAGCGAUCCGGAGCUAAUCCCAAAAGCCAUCCUCAGUUCGGAUUGCAGGCUGAAACUCGCCUGCAUGAAGU
rnacentral:rRNA from 1 species